rnacentral:lncRNA from 1 species
GAGAUUCCUUCAUCCAUAUUGUAUUUCAAUCUUUCAAAUCUAUCUCAUAGAUUAUCCUAGUUAAUAUUUUACUAAAUUAAAAUACAGUGAUAUAUCAACUUCAAUAAUUCAGAGGGGUCAAUCCUAUCUUGAUCUACAUACAGACUUCGCAAGUACUUGACUGUACCCAGUAGCCUUCCAUCACUGCAUUAAAAAUUCAGAUAGUCCAGCA